AUUGUGUCUGCUGCCCAUUACACAACCAGACAAAAUUUGUGAUUGUGACCCUCAAAACCUGGCUAUUGUAGCUGGACGAUCUGUUGUGCUCAUCUGUAUAAAUGGUCGCUAUGACGUCUUCCUGCCAGUGAUGAAUUGCAGAGCUUGUCUUGCAUCAUGGACACCUGAGGUGGUUGACCUGUUGUUUAGUGGUUACUGGCCAGGCACUGUCGAGUUUCAAACCAUAUACAAGGUAGACCUCUUCACAUCGUUUGAGGACCUGAAGAUCACUGCACCUGGACUUUCAAGACAAGCAUUUGUGAAAAUGUUACAACAGCGCUUACAACAAUUUGGAAGGAGUGGUAACAUUUGUGGCAACGUCUUCCAAAAAGCUUUCCUUGAAUGGACAUAUUGUCGUCAUAAAAGAGAAAAACUCUGCGGCAUUGAUCACUUCUCUUUGCCCAGCUUGCACCCCAGAUACAGUUGCUGUGUCUGCAGACGGAAACAGAAAACUAUACAGAUUC